rnacentral:pre_miRNA from 1 species
AAUAAGUUUAUUUUUCAGUUUAUGGAUACAAUGUUUUGACUCUUCGUCUUAUUUAAAAAAUUUUCGAUUAAUAUUUUUAUUGUUACUAUAUGAUAAAAUAAUAAUAGUACUUUAUGCGUGACUAUUUUUUUAAUUUUUAUAUAAAAUUUUCUAAAUAAGAUAAAUGGUCAAAUGUUGGACAUAGAAAUC